rnacentral:lncRNA from 1 species
AUGAGACAGGGGUCACCACUGUCCAGAAACCGGAGAAGGCAAGUGUGGAACACUUGUCACUGUGGCAUGUGCAGUGAAUGCACUGGGGAAUGCAAUCCCUCCACACUUUGUGUUUCACAGGGUAAACCUCAACCCUCAUUUCAUCAGGGAUGUUGUACAGGAACAGCCAACAAAUCAGGAUGGAUACAGGAUGAAGAUUUUCUAGAGUUCUUAUGCCACUUUCAAACCCAUACAAGAGCCUCUCCAACACAGAAGGGCUUGCUGAUCCUCGGCAAUCAUCACUCCCACAUGUCUUUGCGAGGAAUUGACUUUUGUCGUGAAUCUGGCAUUAUUCUCCUCUCCUACCCCCCGCACUAUUCCCACAAGUUGCAGCCACUGGACCGCAGUGUGUUUGGCCCUUUCAAGAUGGUUUACAGCUUCUCUGAUAGCUGGAUGAGACAUCAUCCUGGAACAACCAUGUCCAUUUACGACAUACCAGCAAUUGUAAGGGAUUCUUUCCCAAUGGCUGCCACACCAUCAGAUAUCCAGGCUGGCUUCAGGUGCACAGGCAUUUGGCCCUUCAACAGGGAAAUUUUCAGUGAUGCUUAUUUUGCACCAUCCUGCGUCACUGAUCGUCCACACAAUCCUGAGACAUCAGUCACUGGUCCAGCUUCCACUGUGUCUGUGGCUGGGCAGUUCUCUACCUCCACCGUGCCUGCCAAUGCAUCCAUCUCUGGGACACCCUACAUCGCCUUAAACGUACCUACAACUGGGCCUUUCUCCACCACUUACACUGUGCCUGUCACUGGGCCAAGUUCCAUUGCCUUCAUCAGGCCUGCUGCUGGAACAUCUUCCUUGAUCAAUGAGGACUUUUCACCUAUCUUGGUGAGGCCAUUCCCAAAAGCAGGGCCCCGAAAGACAACUAAGACCAGAAAAAGGAGACCGACUGAAAUUCUUACAGACACACCUGCCAGGAAUUCCCUUGAGGAAGAGCAGGAGAUGGCAUCUUUGUCCAAAGUAAAACGAAAGAUCUUUGCAAAAAAGGAGAAAAUGGUAAAGAAAGGAAAGAAGUACACAAAAGAAUAUAAGGAUGAGACUGUGGAAGAAGAAUUUAAUUCACCAGAGGAGCAGAACAAAACAUCUUCCUCUAAUGUAAAGCAAAGGAUCUCUGCAGAAAAGGAAAAAAUAGGAAAAGAAAGAAGUCUACAAAAGAAAAUGUUGAGGAAAGCGAGGAAGAGAAAGAAUUCUGCAUUGUCUGCCUUGAGAGCUAUUCAAAAUCAAAGGAGGUCUGGCUGUCUUGUGUGUCUUGCCAUUCUGUGA